UAAACUAAAACAAAGAAUGGCAGGCGAAUUUGAGAUCAAAGAUCUUGGUAGCCUGAGGUAUUUUCUUGGGAUGGAAGUGGAAUAUCAGUGUCUCAACGAAAAUACACUCUGAACCUAUUAAAGGAAAUAGGAAUGAUUGGAUGCAAACCCAUUGAUAUUCCUAUUGAGGUCAAUGGAACACUGAAAAACAUUACGGAAGGAGUUCUUGUAAAUAAGGAGAGGUAUCAACGCCUUGUAGAAAAACUGAUUUAUCUGUCUCAUACUAGGCCCGACAUCUCUUAUGCUGUGAGUGUGGUAAGUCAAUUCAUGCAGCAUCCGUAUGAGGAACACAUGGAAGCAGUGACUCGAAUUCUGAGAUAUCUGAAUUCUACCCCAGGGAAGGGCUUAGUUUUUAAAAAAUAUGACACAUAAGCAUCGAAGCAUAUACUGACUCAAAUUGGGCAGGUUUAGUGAAAGAUAGAAAGUCAACCUCGGGAUAUUGUACCUUUGUAUGGGGAAAUUUGGUGACCUGACGGAGUAAAAAAUAGGGUGUAGUUGCCAGAAGUAGUGCUAAGGCAGAGUAUAGAGCUAUGAGCCUGUGAGUGGUGAAGAAAUAUGGUUACAGAAAGUUUUGUCUGAUUUUUACCAGGACAGUCCGGGUCCCAUGAAGCUGUAUUGUGAUAAUAAGGUUGCCAUCAAUAUUACCAACAAUCCAGUACAAUAUGAUAGAACUAAGCACAUCGAAAUUGACAGACAUUUUAUUAAAGAGAAGUUAGAUCACGGGGUUAUCUGUAUUCCCUAUGUCCCUUCAAUCCAACAGAUUACAGAUGUUCUUACCAAAGGAUUACCAAGACAGAUGUUUGAAGCUUGUGUUAGCAAGUUAGAUCUUACUGAUAUCUACGCCCCAACUUGAAGGGGAGUGUUGAAAUAUGAUGCAUUAGCCCUAAUGGCAAUGUGCCUUUUCCUUUAUGCCUACUAAAAUUAGGGUUUUCUUCAUUCUAUUUAUAUUUGAGGUUGGGGUCUCUUGUAAAUAUGACAUUAAAUAAUAAAACUUUUCUAUCGUGGAUUUUUCUCUUUGGAUUAGGGUUUUCCACGUAAACCUUGUCUUGUCUCUUUUCUUCCUAUCUUUCAAUAUUAAGCAUUUGCCAUGCGUAAAAUGGAAAUGUGAAGUUGAGUCCUUUAUUGAAUAGGAUGGAAGUUGGUUAAUUCCUUUGUUUGUUUUGGUCAUUUUAAUAGGUUUAGAGCCUUUUUAGGUGGGUUAUUGAAGACCACUUCUGAGCCUUUCAGAAUUCAAAUAAUGGCCUGUUUAGUACCAAAGCAUUGCAAUUGGACCAUUAGCCUUUGCAGAGAAAAGUCCACACAACCAACAAAAUACAUAUUGGGAAGGACAAGAUACCCAUGAUGAAUCACAAAGUAGGAAUAUCAUGGACGAGUUGGAAGAUCGUGAAAUGAGGCACUUUUCAUCAAGAACAGGUCAUAUGGUUUCACUUGCAUGAUCUGCAAAUGAUAGAGAUCAUAGAAAGGGAAGCCAUUCUAUUAGAAGGUCUGACAAAUUUGAUGCCGCCCUUGAAAUUUUAGCUCACAUGGAAGACUUGGACACUAACUUAAAACUCAAUAAUGGAAGUCAAGAAGGUGGAUGAAAUGAUACCUUUAAUCGCGAAAAGAUCAAAGAUGGAAACUCAAUUCAUGAUGCUAUAAUCCUCAACACUUGAUGAAUUUUGUACCUUAUGACGGUUGUAUAGUUG